AACGUGGCUGCUUUUAAAGAGACCAGCUGCGGCGCGCGCGAGGGGGACAUGCGCCGGUCUACAGCAGCGUAACCCAAAUGCUCCUUUUAUCUCGACAAAAAGGAAUAAAUGAAUUGACGGUGAAAGCGGCGGCCUACUUUCGCGAGGAGAGGAAGUAAUACAUUUGCAAUGGGGGACCUCGGUGCUCGAUCUGUCCAUUGUUUUUACAGUUUAUGGCUCCACCACAUAGAGGGUGUCAGGACGCAGAGUUCAGAUGUGUGGUAGCAGUUGGGAAGAAACUGUUCCAGAACCUGGUGGUUUCAGUCCGCAGACUCCUGUAACGCCUGCCAGAGGGCAAAGUGAAGGGUCUGUGUGCUGGGUUCUGGACGGUAAGAUGAUACAUACUGUGUGGGUGAUAGAAAAGUGUCUAUUGUCCCAUUUCUCUUCUAUCGUUUAUAUCAUUUAUAAUCAUCAUUAUCAGCUUUUUUUAUAAAGCACUCUAAUGCAAUUUGAAAUUGAAAUGAAGUACUGAACAUUAAAACCUUAAAACA